AAUGUGUGUGAGAACACGGUUAUUAUUUUUCCACAGAAUGUAAGAACUCCUUAUGUCACAGCUUAAGAACUCAAGCAGCAGGAGGAUGAGAGAAGCUGGACUCCAGACCUGCUGGCUGCGAUGUUUUCCAUACACAUAGGAACACAGCAGGUUUAGACCCCUCUCCAAGGUGAAUGUGGGGCUAUGGAGAAAAAAGCAGGGCGAGUGGCUGUCUGUCUCAAGUCCCAGUCAUAGGUUUAUGACCUAAACAUGGCCUGUUCACUGAUAAUACCAAUGAAAAUAUAGAAGAAACAGUAGCAGUAAAGAGGCAAAGGUGACUUUGAAGACCAUUUGCGGGAGCCGUCCAAGUUCAGUGUACUGGGACACGUCCAGCGUGCCACUGGCGAUUACUCAUCGCUGCUGGUUGUUACUCAGCCCCAUUGUUCUGGUGAAUGUCCUACAGCUCGACUUUGGAUAGAAACCCGGCAGAAUCAGCGCAUUUAUGAGGUCCCAGGAAAGACCUGCAGAGAGUGUGGGAGACAGCGGGACACCGACACAAGGUGCCAGCGCUCAGUGUUUGGGGAGCGGGAUGGAGUAGGACGACACGGCUGAAUCGGGGUACGCCAGCAUUACACGAGGCGUGCUGUAACCACCCUCACGCAUCGAGGGGGCUUGGGCAGGGGUUUGAUGAAAGCAACAGCCCCGUACCAAGCCCUACACCCUCAGCAGGCUCUC
rnacentral:lncRNA from 1 species